CGCCUCUUGCCAAACCAUAAGAGGUCCCGCCUGCCCUGUGACAAUGUUCAACGGCCGCGGUAUUUUGACCGUGCAAAGGUAGCGUAAUCACUUGUCUUUUAAAUGAAGACCCGUAUGAAAGGCACCACGAGAGUUUAACUGUCUCUAUUUUCCAAUCAAUGAAAUUGAUCUAUUCGUGCAGAAGCGAAUAUAACAACAUUAGACGAGAAGACCCUAUGGAGCUUCAAACACUUAAAUUAAUUAUGUAACCUUAUUCCUCUAAGGAUAUAAACAAAAUAUACAAUACUUCUAAUUUAACUGUUUUUGGUUGGGGUGACCGAGGGGAAAAAUAAAUCCCCCUCAUCGACUGAGUACUAAGUACUUAAAAAUUAGAAUGACAAUUCUAAAUAAUAAAAUAUUUAUCGAAAAAUGACCCAGGAUUUCCUGAUCAAUGAACCUAGUUACCCUAGGGAUAACAGCGCAAUCCUCUCUUAGAGUCCCUAUCGAAGAAAGGGUUUACGACCUCGAUGUUGGAUCAGGAUAUCCUAAUGGUGCAACCGCUAUUAAGGGUUCGUUUGUUCAACGAUUAAUAAUCCU
rnacentral:rRNA from 1 species